AUAACGGUCCUAAGGUAGCGAAAUUCCUUGUCGGGUAAGUUCCGACCUGCACGAAAGGCGCAACGACUUGGGCGCUGUCUCGACCAUGGACCCGGUGAAAUUGCACUGGUCGUGAAGAUGCGACUUACCCGCGGAAGGACGGAAAGACCCCGUGAACCUUCACUGCAGCUUGGCAUUGGCCGCUGGUCCCGCGUGUAGAGGAUAGGCAGGAGGCACAGAUCCGGAGGCGCCAGCCCCCGGGGAGCCGCCCUUGGAAUACUGCCCUCGCGCGACCGGCGUCCUAACCCGAGGCCGUCAACCGGCUCGGGGACCGUGCCAGGCGGGCAGUUUGACUGGGGCGGUCGCCUCCUAAAGGGUAACGGAGGCGCGCGAAGGUCCGCUCGGGACGGUCGGCAACCGUCCUUUUGAAUGCAAGAGUACAAGCGGGCUUGACUGCGAGGCCCACAAGCCGAGCAGGUGCGAAAGCAGGCUCUAGUGAUCCGGCGGCCCCGAGUGGGUGGGCCGUCGCUCAACGGAUAAAAGGUACUCCGGGGAUAACAGGCUGAUCUUGCCCAAGAGUCCACAUCGACGGCAAGGUUUGGCACCUCGAUGUCGGCUCAUCGCAUCCUGGGGCUGGAGCAGGUCCCAAGGGUACGGCUGUUCGCCGUUUAAAGCGGUACGCGAGCUGGGUUCAGAACGUCGUGAGACAGUUCGGUCCCUAUCCUCCGUGGGCGCAGGAGAAUCGAUGGAGGCUGCCCCCAGUACGAGAGGACCGGGGUGGACGCACCUCCGGUGAACCGGUUGUCGACCAACGGCACGGCCGGGUAGCCGCGUGCGGCGCGGAUAACCGCUGAAGGCAUCUAAGCGGGAAGCCGUUCCAGGGAUUAGUUCUCCUUCCGGUAAGGGCCCAGGUAGACUACCUGGUCGAUAGACGGCAGGUGCAAGGGCGGCGACGUCCUCAGCCGAGCCGCACUAAUCGCCCGAGCUCUUCCGGAA
rnacentral:rRNA from 1 species